UACGGAGGGGGCUAGCGUUGUUCGGAAUUACUGGGCGUAAAGGGCGCGUAGGCGGACCGUUAAGUUGGGGGUGAAAGCCCGGGGCUCAACCUCGGAAUUGCCUUCAAUACUGGCUGUCUUGAGUGUGAGAGAGGUGUGUGGAACUCCGAGUGUAGAGGUGAAAUUCGUAGAUAUUCGGAAGAACACCAGUGGCGAAGGCGACACACUGGCUCACUACUGACGCUGAGGCGCGAAAGCGUGGGGAGCAAACAGG
rnacentral:rRNA from 1 species